UCAAUUGGAAAUUAUAUGAAUUAACAAGAAUUAAUUGUUGACCGAUUGUUGGUCGAUUCUAGAAAUUUCAGGAUAAUACAACAAGAAAGAAAAAUGAUUGGUAUAUUUGAAUCAUUCCCCUUUAUAAAAUGUCAACAAUAUUCAUAGAAAGUGCAAUAUUUUUCAAUGAUCACUGUGUCAAUCUACAUAUUUCUUUGUUAUAUCAAUGUAAUAUUAAUGUUCUAAUUUCAGACUGGAACUAGAGAGCUUGGCUCUGACUUGUCUACUACAGCAAGGAAUGUGCCAGGGGCCAAUCUGAUGAACAUGUGGCAGAAGAUUUGGCAAUGGGUGAAGAAACACUGAGAUUGAAAUGCAACCACAGGUGGAGGCUUCACCCAAACUUUUCAGACGGAUGCGAGAUACAAAGUUACCCAAGUAUAAAUGGUUGAAGGUUUUGGAGAGCUAGACAAGAAGGCAGGAAAUGUGAUGUCACUUUUACUUCAAUAAACAUGAACAGCAGCAGGAGCAACAAGAGCAACAGCAAAAAUACCUACAUGUAUUAGAGCAGAAAUGCAACAAUCACAUCAACAGCAGCAGGAGCUCCAACAACCAUGCAGGGAACAUCGCGCGCAACAUAAAUAACUUCAUCAAGAGAUGCAACAACCACAGUGGUAAACAUCAACAGCAGUAGCGACAACGACAGUAGAAACAAAGCCAAUGUCAAGGAUUAAGCAAUCAUACAGGAAACAACACAAGCGGCAACAUCAAUAAAUGCAUCAGGGGAUGCAACAGCCAUACUUGUAAACAGCAGCAGUAGCAGCGAUGACAAGAGCAACCACACAGGCAACACCUUGAGCAACAUCAGUAGCAAUGCACCAGCAAUGAAACAAUCACACCAACAACACCAAGAGCAGCAGCAAAAAGAAAAUAAAUUCCAGCAACCAUGAUGACAACAGCAGCGG